rnacentral:lncRNA from 1 species
UUAUAUAAAUAAAUAUUUUAUUAAGUCAGACAAAUAUUUAAUUACGUCAGAAGGAUCCCACAUUUAAUAUUCUGCCCCUAAAGUUCAUAGAUCUAUCACAGAAUAUCAUAACAAUCACACCUAAUCAUUCAUAACAAGAUACCAUAAAAAAAUGAUUGCUUACGCCAACAAAAUAUGAUUCCAACAAAAAUAUCUGUUUGCCCAACACUCAUUCAUAACAAUAACAUUGUCACUUCUAUCACAUUCAUACAUAUAACCUACAAUGUCAAAGGUGAAAUACUAUAAUUACUGUAUUACUAACGAACACAAUUAUUAAUAUUACAAUGUCACAUAUGACAAUCACACCCAAAAGUAUAAAAAUGUCAUUAAUAUUACAAUGUCACAUCACACCAUGACAAUGUCAAUGAUAAAACACAUAUAAUACUAUGACUAUGUCACUGACACACCAUGACAAUGUCAAUGCUAAAACACAUAUAAUACUAUGACAAUGUCACUGACACACCAUGACAAUGUCAAUGAUAUAACACAUAUAGGGGUAAAUUCAGUAAAAAUCUCCCAUUGACUUUAAUGCUAAUCUAUGUGUGGAAAUAAAUUUAUACCUGAUUUACCUUUAGAAAUUAAAAAUUUUCAUGAAAGUACAAAUGUGGCCCCAUCUUUUGCAACAAUAAAAACAUAGGGUCAUGCAGCAUUUUAAGGGACUUUUUUUACUUCUUUUCCAACUUUUUUUGUAAUAAACAUGUAAUGUAUCCAAUUUUCAAGUUCCAGUUUCAAUACAACCUUCAUAAAUGCUGAAUUUGUAAAGAUAGAGCAAAAUUUAUACUACAGCCCAUACUGCGUCCAAUGUAUAUUUGGUAUAUAAAGUUGCGCAUUUGACUGUUUUUAAAAGAAUGGUGUAAAAUACUAUGUUUAAUAAAUAUGAAUUGUUUUCUGUGUUUGCUUUGACCAGUAUUGCAAGUACAUCUAGAAACUAAAGUCUUGGUGUACUCUUAGUUAGUUUUUUCCUUAUAUGGAUGUUUUUGAUUAAAUACCAUGAAAAGACCACAAAAAGACUUUUCAAAGGCUUUUUUAAGCAGUUUUACAACCAAAUAAAACAAC